rnacentral:rRNA from 1 species
CGUCUAGAGAGAGAAGUAGUGCCCGUACCGCAAACCGACACAGGUAGGUGAGGAGAGAAUCCUAAGGCCGGCGGAAGAAUUACAGUUAAGGAACUCGGCAAAUUGACCCCGUAAGUUCGCGAGAAGGGGUGCCUACGAGAGUAGGCCGCAGAGAAUAGGCCCAAGCAACUGUUUAGCAAAAACACAGGUCUCUGCUAAAGCGUAAGCUGAUGUAUAGGGGCUGACGCCUGCCCGGUGCUGGAAGGUUAAGGGGAACACUUAGCGCAAGCGAAGGUGUGAACUUAAGCCCCAGUAAACGGCGGCCGUAACUAUAACGGUCCUAAGGUAGCGAAAUUCCUUGUCAGGUAAGUUCUGACCCGCACGAAUGGCGUAAUGACUUGGGCACUGUCUCAACUGUAAAUCCGGCGAAGUUGUAGUGCGAGUGAAGAUGCUCGCUACCCGCGAUUGGACGGAAAGACCCCGUAGAGCUUUACUGUAGCUUAGCAUUGAGUUUUGGUAUUGUCUGUACAGG